ACUGCUGCCUCCCGUAGGAGUAGGGGGAAUCUUCCACAAUGGACGCAAGUCUGAUGGAGCAACGCCGCGUGAGUGAAGAAGGUUUUCGGAUCGUAAAGCUCUGUUGUUGGUGAAGAAGGAUAGAGGUAGUAACUGGCCUUUAUUUGACGGUAAUCAACCAGAAAGUCACGGCUAACUACGUGCCAGCAGCCGCGGUAAUAC
rnacentral:rRNA from 1 species